rnacentral:rRNA from 1 species
UAAGACGAACCGUGCGAACGUUAUUCGGAAUCACUGGGCUUAAAGCGCGUGUAGGCGGGCCGGCACGUCCGAGGCUGAAAGCCCCCGGCUCAACCGGGGAACGGGCCCGGAUACGACCGGCCUGGAGGGGGGUAGGGGGAGCCGGAACUUCCGGUGGAGCGGUGAAAUGCGUUGAGAUCGGAAGGAACGCCCGUGGCGAAAGCGGGCUCCUGGACCCCACCUGACGCUGAGACGCGAAAGCCAGGGGAGCGAACGGGAUUAGAUACCCCGGUAGUCCUGGCCGUAAACCAUGGGCACUGGGUAGGGGGCUCGCCGAUGGGCUCCCUGCCGCAGGGAAACCGUGAAGUGCCCCGCCUGGGGAGUAUGGUCGCAAGGCUG